rnacentral:rRNA from 1 species
GACAGAGGAUGCUAGCGUUAUCCGGAAUCACUGGGCGUAAAGGGUGCGUAGGCGGGUCUUUAAGUCAGGGGUGAAAUCCUGGAGCUCAACUCCAGAACUGCCUUUGAUACUGAGGAUCUUGAGUUCGGGAGAGGUGAGUGGAACUGCGAGUGUAGAGGUGAAAUUCGUAGAUAUUCGCAAGAACACCAGUGGCGAAGGCGGCUCACUGGCCCGAUACUGACGCUGAGGCACGAAAGCGUGGGGAGCAAACAGG